AUUGAACGCUGGCGGCAUGCUUUACACAUGCAAGUCGAACGGCAGCGCGGGCGUCGGCCUGGCGGCGAGUGGCGAACGGGUGAGUAAUGCAUCGGAACGUGCCCAGUAGUGGGGGAUAGCCCGGCGAAAGCCGGAUUAAUACCGCAUACGACCUGAGGGUGAAAGCGGGGGACCGAAAGGCCUAGCGCUAUUGGAGCGGCCGAUGUCGGAUUAGCUAGUUGGUGGGGUAAAGGCUUACCAAGGCGACGAUCCGUAGCUGGUCUGAGAGGACGACCAGCCACACUGGGACUGAGACACGGCCCAGACUCCUACGGGAGGCAGCAGUGGGGAAUUUUGGACAAUGGGGGCAACCCUGAUCCAGCCCUGCCGCGUGCGGGAAGAAGGCCUUCGGGUUGUAAACCGCUUUUGUUCGGGAAGAAAUCCUCUGGGCUAAUACCCCGGGGGGAUGACGGUACCGGAAGAAUAAGCACCGGCUAACUACGUG
rnacentral:rRNA from 1 species